UACGUAGGGUGCAAGCGUUGUCCGGAAUUAUUGGGCGUAAAGAGCUCGUAGGCGGUUUGUCGCGUCUGCUGUGAAAACUCAGGGCUUAACUCUGAGCUUGCAGUGGGUACGGGCAGACUAGAGUGCGGUAGGGGAGACUGGAAUUCCUGGUGUAGCGGUGAAAGUGCGCAGAUAUCAGGAGGAACACCGGUGGCGAAGGCGGGUCUCUGGGCCGUAAACUGACGCUGGAGGGAGCGGAAAGCAUGGGGAGCGAACAG
rnacentral:rRNA from 1 species